CAGCCGCCGCGGUAAUACGUAGGGUGCAAGCGUUAAUCGGAAUUACUGGGCGUAAAGCGUGCGCAGGCGGUUUGUUAAGACAGAUGUGAAAUCUUCGGGCUCAACCCGAAGUCUGCAUGCGAAACUGUCGGGCUUGAGUAUGGGAGAGGUGAGUGGAAUUUCCGGUGUAGCGGUGAAAUGCGUAGAUAUCGGAAGGAACACCUGUGGCGAAAGUGGCUCACUGGACCAUAACUGACGCUGAUGCACGAAAGCUAGGGGAGCAAACAGGAUUAGAUACCCGCGUAGUCCCUGUCUCUUAUAC
rnacentral:rRNA from 1 species